UGCGCCGCCGGGUGCUGGGCCCCCGCCCCAAGGGCCCGGUGACCUCCAGGAGGCGACAGCCCGCCGGCCGGGGAGGGCUCGCCGGGCCUCCUACCCUCCGGGCCGCGCGCGCCCGUAGCCGUUGGCGCCCGGCGGGUCCCCAGCGCAGCCCCCUCUGAGGCGAGAGCCCAGCCAGGCUCCUCUCGCCGUCGGGCCCUUCCGCCGCCUCUUCCCUCCUCGGAAGCCCCGGAAUCCUUUAUCUUCUAAUUCAUGAACGUUAUUUUUGCCAGGUUUUUUUUUUUUUUUUUUCCCCAAGAGGUUGGGGGCGGGGGGAGCUGAAAACGAGACGUUUGCUUCUCUCAGCUACCUUGCAAGCCAAUAAUUACCGAACACAACGAUAAUUAAAUCUGUGACCAGAUGGGCCUAAUUCGGGGAGGAACUGAUUUUCCUGAGGCUGCUGCCAUCCUUGGGGACAGGGACGCCCCGGAGCGUGGCGCGGCCGGGGUCACGCGUGCCCUCUGCUGGGAGGCCCGUCCGCGUGCGUGACCUCACCGGCCGGGAUGCGGUGGUCCCACUCUCCCCGACCGGAAGCCUUGGAGCCACUCGGCUUUAACUUGAUGGCGCUGUUUCAGACACUGUGGGAGGAAGGUCAGGAACACAGCAGAGCCUGAACUGGAUCUGGGCAGAUGAUCCCGGAGGAAGGACGGUGAGGACAGCUCACUCAGUCCAAACAAGCAACCUGGCUGGACUGGCCCUGAGCAAGAGGUCUCAGUCAGAGACCUGGCUGCGUCCGAAUGGGCCAGAGCUGAAGAGCUCAGCCGCCCAACUGCUAAGCCACGAAAAAACUUCUUCAGAGGAGGGCUGACACACACCAUCUUCUAAGGAAGGGAGCGUCUCUCCUUGGAGGGACCCAGUGUGCACUUUGCCUGUUUGCGGGCUAUGACUGCCCGGGGCAAUUUAAGACAGCAUUCGCAGUCACCUACAGAGAACUUGCUCUGUGCCAAGCACAUAUGUUAAUGCAAUUGGUGACAAAGGCCAGAAAACACGAAGAUUAAAAAAACCCACAGGCUUAGCUCACCUCUUCCUCUGCCUUCUUGCGGAGUCCUUCUUUUGUAAUCAUGAAUUGUGUUUAUUCCCAGCUUCGAAUUAAGUGGUUAAGUUUUCUUUCCGAAUGCAAACGCAGAGUGAUUCAAAGGGCAGUCUGAAUUCUGGGUUAUAAGGGCCAUGUGCACGGCGGUCACAGCUCCCCGCAUUGCGUGGCACAGUCACUGCGACAGUCUUAGGAAGUUCCUCUCAUCGUCCCCAUUUAGCAGGUGGCAAAGUGGCAGAGGUGGACUCAAGCCUGGGCUCUGCAGCUCCAGCACGGACACAGCCCACCCGUGGUCCAAACCUCGCCCUGUACACUUGCUGGGAAACUGGGCAGUUAUCAGCUCCAUCGAGUGUUGUGCCCAAGGAGACUCUAUCACCAGAAGGGUGUUGAGUCGAGAGUAGCUGUUCCCCGAGAUUCCUGUUUGCUCUCAUUACUGCCGAAUUGCAAGAGCGGAAGGUGCAAACUCCCCACCUGGACCGUUGGGCGUGAUGGUAAUGCUGCUAUGUAGCUACGGGGGGGGGCACGUCACCAUCUAAAAGCCACUGGCUCAACAUGUGUGCCACGCUGAAAGACAGGCCCCUAGCCCUGCAGGAGGCUGUCCCCAAGCUGGCUUCCUACAGGUGUCUACCCAGAAGGUGGGUUGCUUCUCCCUCCAGGAUGCAGGGCUCUGCCCUAACCAACUUGCCACCAGCAUUGGGUUAGAAGCAGCCUCGGCCGUGGGUGAGAGGGGGUCCACGCUGCAGGUCUCUUGCACACCUCCAUCCCCGCCACCACGACCGCACUGUCCACACCGCCCAUGGCCCUCUGUGCAGGGCGAUGGCGGGGCAGGCAGAGCCUGGCCUGGCUGCCCUCAGCUACAGACACCACCUGAGCACCGGUUGCCAAGCGCCCCUUUACUGAUGCUCCCUGAAAGAUUGAGAGGGGAUCACAGGCCCUUCCCUACUCCCUGGCAACCCCUCAUCCCAUCUCGCCCCUUCCAGACCCCCACUGAGGAGCCCAGCCACCCAGCACUGCCCACACAUCUGUGCACAGAGGCGGUAGGCCAGCUUCUCCGCCCUGUCUGCCCUUCGCCCUGGCAGGAGCUGGGCUGGAGCCAGGCAGCAGGCCAUUGUUGGUUCACAUCGAAUUAUCCAGCAAACCCAUUCGUAAACCACGUCCAGAGGCCCUGGGAGUUAAGACUUGAACCUACCUUUGAGGGGAGAAAGGUCAACCCACAAGCAGGAUCGUGGCUCGGAAACACCCACCAGAGGCCGUGCUUCCUGUCACUCGACAUCAGAGCAAACGCGAAAUCUCAGGGUGUCUCUUGCCUCGGCACCAGACUCGUCCCAACACACCCAUGACGGGUCCACCGUCAUCCUCACUGGUCCCAGCAGCCGUCCGUAACCCCCUCCCAGGUUCCAGACUUCGGGUGGGGUCGGGUGGGGGGACAAGCUUGACAGUCCCUGGUACUUAUCCCUGGAGCCCUGUUCGUGUCAGCUGUGUGAACCGUUGUGUUGGACAGGCGGUAAGUGCUAAUUUUCUGCGUUUACCAGUUUUCAAUGUCAUGACCCAGCUUCCUUCAAAGGAAACCAGUGAUUUUUUUUUUAAGUUAUCAUGAUGAAUUCAUGGAUUUUGAAAAAUAUAUUUCAUGCAUUUCAGUUUAUUUCCCUCUCCCAAGUUUCUCAUUUGUGUCCUUGUUGGGAGCUGUUAGUCUGCGAGGCUCUCACAUUUCUGAAUAUCUGAGCGGAAGUAGUGACAGCUUCUGUUCUACCUUUUCAGGAGUGUUCGGGACCAAACAGCCUUUCAAAGAUGGAGACAUGGUCCCCUCCGAGGCAAAGGACGAAGUUGAUUGCUGACCAGCAGGUUGAAAAUAACAGCAAAGUUGGAGUUCCCAUCAUGGCACAGGGGAAACAAACCUGACCAGAAUGUAUCUCUUAAUGAACAAGAAUUGAGCGUUUGUUGGCCACUGACCAUGGUUAGUCAAUGGAGCCUUUAAAUCUCUGCUUUUCAAAGUUUGCUAAGAUUUAAAUGUCCCAUGAACAUACAAGGAUGAAUACGCUUGGCUCAAGAGAUUAUAUGCUUAUAUUUAUUAGGUAAGGUUUUUGUGCUAUAUUUUAAAAAGACCUUUUUACUCCAAAUAAUUUUAGAAUAAAAUUAUUUAUUCUAAAUAGGUUGCAAAAACAGUCCAGAGAGCUCCCGUGUGGACUUCACACAGCUUCCUUCGGUGAAAACGUCUCACGGAGCCGGAGGGCAGUCCAGCGAGGGGGCUGACGACGGUAUAAACUGCAGACAGUGUUUGGAUUUUGCCGGGUUUCACAGGUACCUUCGUGCUGCGUCUGUCAACUCCAGCCGGAGUCACCACCACGGGGUCAGGCUCCGGAGCUGCUCCCGUCCCCUGGAGUCUCACGCCGACCCCUGAGCUUUUGUCUCAUCCCCACCUUCUCUGUUGGAUCUGUCCAGGUCUCGAAGGUGUAACUGCUAAUGUUGGUUUUCCCUAAAUCUCAAAUCCUUACAAAAUCUUGUAUGAGAUGCUCAAAGCGCAGGUUGAUUGAAAACUUUUAUCUUUCGUAAAUCGGGCUUGAAUCGGCUCCUAAUGUUCAUCUUCCUCUUGAUUUUACUUCUUUUACCCUUGUUUUCAGUGGGUCUGAUGCUAUCCUUCCAGUCCUAUUUUUAUGACUCUUUACCUGGAAUCUUCAUUUUCAGCCUUUAUUCGUCUCCUGAAGUUAAAUUGUGUAGAGAGCAUAAGCAGGUUUACUUUUUAUGCUUCAUGGAAGGGUCUUUUUUUUUUUUAAAUAAGAAAACAAAUCCAUUCACAUUUAGUGUACUGACAGAUAGACUUUUCUUUGUUCCCGUUAUUUUAAAUAAGUUAUUUUUUAUUUGACAUUGCUGUUUUCUAUUUUCCUUUUCCAUGUGUUUGUUGGUGUGUUCAAAGGUCUCUUCACUCAAUUUUUUGGUCCCAUUUUAUUUUUUAAUUUUUAUUUUGUUUUAUUUUGCUUUUUAUGGCCAGACUAUGGAAGUGCCCAGGCGAGGGGUCACAUUGGAGCUGCAGCUACCAGCCUAGGCCACAGUCACACCACGGGAUCCUUAACCCACUGAGCAAGGCCAGGGAUCGAGCCCACAUCCUCAUGGAUACCAGUCAGGUUCGUCUCCACUGAGCCACAACGGGAACUCCUGUCCUUUGUUUCUUUAAAUUUUAAAAAAUUGCAGCAUGGUUUGCACUUAAUAAAUGGUUGUCUUUCC